rnacentral:lncRNA from 10 species
CUCUGGGUCUCGCACGCAGCAGCUGCAGACGCUGCCCGGCGCGGUGGGGCUGUGAGCAAAACGGCCCGCCGGUGUGGUUGCCCAGACUGUGCUGGGCCCUCCUAGGUGGAUGGCCCUGCCCCAGCCUAACUUCUGUACCCCAGCAUAACCUCCAAAGUAACAGCCGUGCCCUGGGAGCCUGUUCAACACUGAACAUAUCCCACAAUAACACUGUUCCAGCGUCGCUGGUAAAAAGCAGAAAUGGCUUCGGUUAUUCAUUUUAAAUUGCAGCUGGAGGCAUCGACAAAUCUAAUGCAGUAACCUCAUUUUACAGAAGAGAACUCUAAGAGGAUAACUAACUUGGCCAAGAUCACAUGAUGUUUCUGGAUGAGAUUAGCAUUCAAAUUCGUGGACUCAUUAAAGUAGAUGGCUCUCUCCAAUAUGGGUGGGCAUCAUCCAAUCUGUUGAAGGCGUGAAGAGAACAAGAGAAGGAGGAAGGAAGAAUUCACCUUUUUUCUUGCUGCCCACCUGCUUGGGCUGGGACAUUGCAUCUCACCUUCUCCAGCCUUUGGAUGAGGAUUUACACCCUGGUUCUCAGGCCUUCAGGCUCUAACUGGAGCUACACUAUCAACUUUCCUGGGCCUCCAGAUUGCAGAUGGUGGAUCACGGUACUUUUUAGCCUCCAUCAUAAUAUGAGAAAAAAGAGGCACAGUGAAGCUAAAUAUAUUGGCUAAAGAUCACAAAGCUAAGUUGAAAUUUUUCAAGAUGAAAAGUUGCUAAAGAAAGAGAAAGGGAAGCGGUUUGCUCCAGUAUUCCUCUUUCCACCUUCCCACUGACUGGGAAGCGGCGGUUAGCAGAGCCACAGUCUUGGAUUAGAGAUAAGAGGGACAUGUUGAGGAAGGUGGAGUCUCCCCCACAGCCCUGGACCAGGCUCCAGUGCCAACAAAAGCCAAGAAGAACCUCUGGAGCAAUCAGUCUUACGGAAUCCCUGUAUUCUAGGAUUUGGCAAGCUGUCCACUGAAACAUUAUUUUUCCCAGCCUUCUUUGCAGAGGUGGGGAAACUGAGGCAAAGGGUGUUUAAAUGGUCUGCCCAAAGUCACACAGCUAAGAAGCAGUGAUGGGAUAUGAAGUCAAACAGUCUUAAAAGCAAGCUAUCCUGUUGCAAAAUAGAAAUUAGUUGAUAACGUCUUCCAGGAGACCUACGGCCAUCCUACUGAUAUGAACCAGAUCAUACCUGCCCUGAUGGGAUGCCAGAGAAAGACUGCUGCAAGGUACGCGCCACUCACAGACCUCUCCAUUUAUCUCACUGAUGCAAAGGACCCUGAGUAGGGAUCCUCUGGAAACAGAACAGAGGGAAGAAGAUACCUUCCCUGAAGCCCAGAUGUUCCAGAAGCCUGCGCCUCAUUCACAAAGUCACCCCAAAAAUGCCCUAGAGUUUGGAGUUUUGAAGAAGCGGGAAGAAGGCCUGAGUAAGGGCCUGGGAACCAAGUUAGAUCCUACUUCAGCAUCAGCACAUGCCAGCGAUGGUGCACACAGGUGGAGAGCGGCCUGCCCGUCUUUUCCAUGGUGCCCACAGACCCAUUUAGGAUGAAAGAUCAGAAAAUUCUCUCCAUGUCACCGCUUCUGAAACAUGUGAAUAUUAAUAUUUGGUGCCUAAAAGGCCAUGGCAAAUUUUCAUUGGUUUUAUCUUAUUCAUGAUUAUAGAGUUGAAAGAAUACAUAUUCCCAUGGGGAUCAAUGAAGACAUUCUCAUUUUGAAUGAAGUAGAAUAUAAGUUGUAAAGAUAUAGAAUUUUCCUGAACUGAACCUUGAACCAAAAAUCCCCUCAAUUAACCUGGAACUAAACACAGUCCCUGAAGAUAACAAGGAGUUUCAGGAUGCCACAGGGCUGUCUGUGCAGUAUGGGGCUUCUUGCUCUAUCUCUGGUAUCUGAGGCAGAUAGGCUACUCAGGCCCCUCUCUGGUCUCAAGGUGGGCUGGCUGAGAUGUCAGUUUCUUCCUCAGUGACAGCUUGGGUACAGUAUGUGUAAACUGAUUGUCAGCUGAGCUGAAGGGACUCUGCCCAUAUUGGAGUGUUCUACAAGAAGAGGUGUCAAACCUAAAGGUCUAAAAUUACUAUGAAAGGAGUAUUGGAAACCACUGGGACAAUUGUGAUCACAACUGGUGGUAGCCUUCUCGUUUGGGUGAGAAAGACAGAAAGGAGGAAGAUGUGUUAGUCAAGGUUCUCUAGAGGGACAAAACUAAUAGGAUAUAUGUAUAUAUGAGAGGGAGUUUAUUAAGGAGAAUUGACUCACUUGAUCACAAGGUAAAGUCCCAAGAUAGGCUGUCUGCAAGUUGAGGAGCAAGGAAGUCAUUGGUGGAUUGUUCUGGGUACCAAAACCUCAAAAGUAGGGAAAUCGACAGUGCAGCCUUCAGUCUGUGGUCAAAGGCUCGAGGGGCCCUGGCAGACCACUGGUGUAAGUCCAAGAGUCCCAGAAGCUGAAGAACUUGGAGUCUGAUGUUUGAGGGCAGGAAGCAUCCAGCACAGGAGAAAGACGGAUGCUGGAAGACUUAGCAAGUCUGUUCUUUCCAAUUUCUUCUGCCUGCUUUUAUUCUAGCCAUGCUGGCAGCUGAUUAGAUGGUGCCCUCCCAAAUUGAGGGUGGCUGUGCCUCUCCCAGUCCACUGACUCAAAUGUUAAUCUCCUUUGGCAACACCCUCACAGACACACCCAGGAACAAUACUUUGCAUCCUUCAUUCCAAUCAAGUUGACACUCAAUAUUAACCAUCACAGAAGGAGAAUUUCAGGCUGAGUCCAAACACUAUGGCCCCAGCCCCAGCUUCCCCUUUCUGGGUUGAAUAACCAGACUGAGCCUAAGAAAAGGAAAAGAGUUGACUUUCUCCCAAAAGGCCUGCAGCGGGUUAGAAAGCAAUGGUUUGGGGACCAUACUGAGUGCCUAGGAUGCUCUGGACCACAAAGCUUGAAGUCAAAUUGUUCAUGCACUUGUUUCAUGAUAGGAAGAGAGAGAGAGAGAGAGAGAGAGAGAGAGAAAUUUCCUUUCCUUGAAGAAUGGCAAAACACGUCUCUUGUUCUGGGGGCUAUAUCUUGAAGGGUAUCUGAUCUCCCCCUCAUGGGAGGAACUAGAAUGCCCUAAGGCAGCCGUGGCUCCUGGAGCUGAGAGAUCUUUCUGACACUUUGUGAGAGCUGCAAGGCUAAGUCUGGAGCCAGAAAAGUCCAUGUGGACAAGUGCAGAGCAAGCAGAUCUGAGACACAUGUGGGAGCAAGCUGGACAUGUCCAAAAGUCAGAGGAAGCAAGAGCAGACAUGCAUGAGCAGGCAGAUGAGGCUGGUGCCCAGGCAGCAGGCUGAGGCUCUGGCUGGGCUUUGGAUGCUCCUGAGAGUCCAGUUAGAGACCAGUGAGCAAACCCACAGUGAACUCUUAUUCCUCACGCAGCAGGACGAGGGAUUAAGCACAAAGCCUUAAAGGUCUGAGUGUCUCUUUAUCCUGACCUCAGGAAAGAGAGGCAAGUAUCAUGUUUCUAAAAGUCUGAGAAGUCUUCACAUGACAGCCUACACCAAAAGAACUCAAAUGCACAUCCACUGCAUACACGCAUGUGUGCACACAUAUACAUGUGUACACAUGCAUGCCCACACACAACCCUCUGGAAGAGGAAGUAAAGAGACUUUAUGUUUUCAGCCCCUCUUGAGGAAACUUAAACUAAGUCUUUCUGUGGGGUUAGUGGUGGAGACAGAGAGGGUCUGGGGUCACCGAGGCCGAGGUGGCUGGACCCAGAGGGUAGAGCUGAGGGGAUCCCCUGAGACUGGGAAGAUGGAGCAGAAGCAGAUGGCAGAUGGCAGCAGGUGAGAGCAGACUGGAUUUCUCCUAAAUCACCAGAUCCAGCCAACCUUUCUUUCCUUAGGGACACCUCUAGAUCCCAUUCCAAAUGAACUCUUUCUCUGACCUUUCACCUCAAUUCAGAAUUUGGGAAAUUUAGCCAUGAUCUUAGGAACACAGAGGCUUGAAACAAUCUUUUCUAACCACCCGUUUGUUCAGACUGUGUAAGUUCUGCUUCUGCAUCCAGUGUCAACACCCAAGAACCAUUUUAAAGGGGAGCCAUCCUUUGAAAUUAAACUUCUUUUAAUAAUAAAGACAGAUUUCAGGGUUGACAUAAAAGAUAGCCACAGUAAAGCCAAUCCUCCAGUGUAUAACAUUUUUCAAAGUUUCCUUCCUCUUCAUUGCUGGUGUUCAUGUACAGUCCAGAGUUAGUCUACAUUAAAUUAUAGAUUGUUUUCAGCAAUAAUGCAAACAUUUGGAAGCCUUCAAACUCUCUGAUAACUAACUUCUACAUUCUCUCUGCUAUUAUUAUAUAGAAAGGGAAAUUUUACCUGAUGCUGUUAAAGUCCUCACGAACAUAGUGAUCCGAAUUGGCUGAAGUGGAAAACUAAAUGUUAGCUGAUUUUCAAAACAAGAUUUCCACUCUGAAUUCCCAUUUUUCACAUGUGAUCAUAUGCCUUGUUGUGAAGUUGAACUAAAAAGAAACUCCAUGCCCACUGGCUUAAUGCUAGAAGAUAAUCUACAGCAUAGUAAUUUCUUAGACUUCACUUUAUUAGCCACUAAACUUGGAAUGAUUAUUUCUAUGUUCAAUUAUUAAGUCUAUAUCUCCAUUUCUUAAAAAGGUCUGAGGCAGCCCCUUUGAAUAUUAAUACGCAUUUAUUUUCACCUCUCAAAUAAAA